AUGCUUGCUAACAAGUUGCUAAAUGGGACCCAGAGCUUAUUUUCUGCACAACAGGUGAAGAGAAACUUUUUGUCAAACUAUUGAUAAAAUCUUAAAACAAGAGACUGUUCUACAUGGCUAUAUACAUUUCCUUAACAAGUGUGUGGAGGAUCAGUUAGGACGGGAUAAAGAUUAUGAAUACUAUAAGACUAUACUUUCAGUUAUUUGCUAGUAUAGCUUGUAGAACUACAGAACAGAACUUAGAAACUUUAAUUCUGAACUUCAUGAAAGCAAUGAAUUCAGUCCCACGUUGACAUCCUAUGGCACCCGAUGUAAUAGGACGUUUGACAGGCAGGUUUCAAUUAGCGUGACUGCAAGUCUUGUAUCUUUUAAUAGGAAAUCCGCCGCUGCUGUGAGGAGAAAGCUUCAAUGCUCUCUGCUGCAUCUUAAUAAAAAUAUGUAUAAAAAAGAGAAGAAGAACUGGGUUUCCACAGCAACUGGCACCUGAGUAACGGCGGAGACGUGCUUGAAGGCAUCAGGAGCAGCAAGCACUGAAGUGCUCUACAGAACAUCUUUGAUGCACUCACAAACUCUGGUCUCGCGUCAAGCGCUUAUACACCGCGUGCGAUUCGACCUGACGGAAACAACCCAUGAAAUCUCAGAGUCUCCUCACCGAGGGGAACACGGCCGACAAUAGGCCCUAAUUAAAGCAUGCUGUGGGCUGACAGAGCCCAUUCUUCGCCACAGCGUCCCGUUUAAACUGGGCCUCCCUUCCUGUGCCAUCCACACCCACCUCACUUCACUAAUUUCAAGUGGAACCGUGAAGGCUUAAUGGAAGACCUCGGAUGACAGGAAGUCAACGCGACCUGGUUGUCAUUACUGUGCCAGACAGCAUGAAUAAACCAGCAAACCCAGCAGUGGCUGGCCUGUACUGCUCCUGGAACAGCUGGGACUACAGCCAUGAAUCAUGUCAUCCGGCCGGGCUUAUGAAAAGAGCUCUGCGUCUGUGUGCGCUUCUCAGACAGACAGAGAGAGCAGAGCGGGCGGUACUAAAUCAUACAGCUCAUCACUCCCAAUGCAUUUGCCCAGCAAGACACAUUCUGGAUUUAUGGGGUACCAAUGCUACUGGUCGCUCAUCUGAAUACACUGUUUAUCUAUUUUCACACUGACCGGGGCUGCGUUUUGCUAACCCAUUUCAUGAUGUUCAACCUCAGUUGCAGGCUUUUGAGAAUGAGACUAAAGACCUGGAACAUGUAUGAAAAUACCCAAUCUGGCCUGACUGACAAUAGUGCCCAUCUGGCCAUUCUAAAGGGCUGGGUGCCCUCUGAGGUGCAUGUCCACCAAGGUGCAGAGUAUAAACUCGGUCCGACGCUGUCAUGUAAGCCACACACCGUAUCCACCUUUCCCAGUCGGUCUCCAUCACUGAGUAUAUACGCAGUGUGCUGCUCCAGGUGGUCCACGGUCUGCCUCUUCGGCUUACCCAUGCUUAUUCAAGCUCGACGAGGCUCAAGAGGCUGAGACUCACUUUGCGUGGCCCCCCUGCCGUGGUGGAGGGGACAGCACUAAGCUGUGUUUUGGGCAGAGCAGAGAGGAUUGCAGUGAGAUGAAUGGUAAUAGAGGGAGAGACAAUGCAGCCACUCGCCUGUGACCGAGCACAACUGCUUCACAGUACUUCUCUCACCAGGAGAAUAGCAGGAGGGAGGGGGAGUGCGAAAGAAAGAGCGAGUGAAAAAGUGAAAGAGAGAUAUCGAGACCUUGCUCAUGGUUUGCCAUGCUGAGCAGUUCCCCCAGCUUGACCAGCAUCAAACCAGUCACAUAAAUGCCUGUCCAAGAUUGGGCACUUUAAGCCUUCAGAGAUGAAAGCAUGAGACUGCGGCCAGGCUAAACAAGUCAGUGCAUUAAUCAUCUGAAGUGAAGAGAAGAGAACAUUACACCACAAGACAUACUGCCAAGUGCCUUCGGUUUUGCAAAGGCCAUCAGAUUUCAUUCGGCUAAUCAGCAGCUGUGUUGGAGUUGGCAGGUGGUUAAACGGGUGACUAGGGGACUGGAUGGCUGGCUGCAGUGUCUCGGCGUCUCUCUCCCCCUGAGUCCAGGUCUCUGGCUGGAACACGGUGACCUAUAGCUGCUCUUGGCAGGGCCGUGGGGUUACCAGAAGGGCAGAACUGCACUCCGAGUCUGGCAUCUGGAGUCUGGGACAGUGAGAAAGAGAGAGCGAGAUCAGCCAAGUACGUUGACACUGAUGGCAUCAUAUGCACUCAUGCUGAAAGGUUCGAGAGGAGGUGAAGGCUGCUUGAGGAGGUCGAGUGAGGCUAACACAGGGAGAAGUGAAGCGAAAUGCUAACAGACACAGGCCACUGCUCUUCCCCUCUGGCAAGACAACUCUCCAUAACCCUACCCAGACACCACUGCAUCCCCCAUCACUACCAAACUGACAUGCCACCCUCAUCCGCGCCGAUUCUGUGUGGGCGUCCGAUCGUGUGUUAGUCGUUGUGAACACAGUGCACAAACCUUUACGGCCUUUGUCGCGGUAACCUUGCCCCUGCUCUGUCCCUGUAAAAUGGAAGAAAAGAGAAGAAAAUGCAAGGUGUUGAGUGGGAGGAUGUCAAAGAGAGAGAGUAAAAUGAAAGUGGGCGUGAAGAGUGUGCACUAUAAAAUAAAAUAAAAGAUGAGAGGAAGCGGUUAAUGACCAGCCGAUAAUAAAUAAAGUGCAUGUCAGAUUACCAGUAAAAAGAGGGAAAAGAUGAAGAGAGCGGAAGGGGGAGGAACAGGAAGAGAUGCAGUGUGACAAGGAAAAGGCAAGAGGCACUUUUCAUGGAUACAGUAAAACAUUAAAGCAUUAUAUGCACCACCUCAAGUAAUUGUAAAAUUACUUAAAAUUGGGAACACAUCCAGGAAGUGUCAUCAUUUGGACUUUUUCUACAGCAUCUAGCUAUAGCAUGUUGGGAAGGCAAUAUCUACUUUGUACCCUACUCAUGGAAGGUGCAAGAAAGAUCUGUUGAAUGUGCAAGUAGAAGAGACAAAAUGUGAGAGAGAAGGUCUGCCGAAUAAGGGAAGAUGAAUUACAGGAAUGUGCACGGUGGCGCGGCUCGUUUAGGAGCUGAUGUGUCGGGAAGCGGAGGAUGGGUGUUAAUAAGAAGCCUUAUGUGGCUUUCUACGAACUGAAAUGCUUCACAGGCCAUGGGAACAGAAGAGAGAGAGAGAGAGAGAGAAAAAGAGAAAGACAACACAACAUGAGCAAGGCUGCCUGAUCUCUGCUGAGUCAUUCAGGCGGUAGUUAAAAAGACAUGACAAACAUUCAAGUACACAGGAGAAACAUCUGAGGAGCUAUGAUCAGAAAUGUUUGAGAAUCCAUUUGGCAUCUCUGAGAACAGUUUCAGGAAAAAGAAUUGAGAUCUCAUUUGUGAUCAUUCUAUGAAGAAGUCUACAAGAUGCGGACCCUCAACACAGCUGAAGAAUUAGGUGAGCCAUUUGAGGUUUACUAAUGUAUAGCCAGUCCAUCUGUAACCUUCUGGCAAAUUCCUCUCAAAUUUACACUCAGAACAGCCGAGGUACAUGGUAAGCAUCUCUCUAACAUUAAACAUGUAAUUUUGAUCACCUGUGUACUCCCUGACUAAAGUGCAGAUUGACUGUGCCUAAAGUUUCACUCCUCCAAACACAAAAAUUCUCAUUCGAUAAGGUUCUAGAAAUAACAACAUACUACAGCAUGGACAAAGAAAGGUGUGAGAUCUGACAGGGAAUGGGACUCUCUAUCUUCCUCUAACCCCCCAUUUUUCUGUUCUUGUCUUUUCCUCUUGCUCUUGCUUUCAGGGAUGGGUGCUCCCUGAGGGCUUCGCCAGCCCUCCUUUCUCCUCACUCAUUUACACCACUGCACUGAUGCAUGUUGGAAUUGAUAACAUGGACUCCUUCUCUUAUCUUGUCUUACAGUAGUCUUUUGAGUAGGAGUCCUUUGUUACCGAACUGGUGCAGUGCAAAGAGAUGUCACAGGUCUGUAUGCGCUACCAGGAAGUUGAAAGUUCCAGCACCAUGCUAAGAAAAAUAAAUAGUACAAUACAGAGGGUUCAGUUGUUCUAACCUAAAAAUAUAAAAACUCCACUGUCAAAUCUCCAUUCUAUCAUUUAAUGUUUGACAGCCACUUGCAUGAUGAAAUUGAUUGAUAAUGUGUUGCUGAGUAUGUGCAUCUUAAAUCGUUAUUAUUCUGUAUUCAUCCAGUCCUCUUCUCUCAGUAUUUGUAGCAUAACAAUGUCUCUGUAACAACUCAAUAAUUAAUUCCGUUUGUCACAAACCAGUACAAGGUUGUUGCUGAGGGGACGGGUGUUGGUAAGUGCUGCCGUGGUGACGGUAAGAAGCAAUGCGUUACGUCGAUAGAUGGCCGAGAGAAACGGGAAGCGAUGGCCGGCUCCUGCAGACACUAGGAAUGCUUCAUGUCCCGGUGAUGAAUCGCAAAUAGAAGAUCAGGGUUUGCCACAUGAAAGUGAUUGGGAGGAGGGAAGGAGGGGGAAAGAGACACAAAGAGAGAAAGAGAGACUCCCUUUACACUCGCCGUGUCAGGCCUCAGUCUUUGACUUCGGUCGGGACUAAUGAUCGGUCUGAUAUGGGCAAGUAAUUGGUGUCUAGGGAUGUUAGACUACAUUGUUUUAUACAUAACAUAAUAGGCAGCUAGAAUGGACCAGUAUAGGGUGCAAUAUUUAGUCAGGAAGGCGAUGCACGCAUACCGUGAAAGGCAAUUAAAACUAAGGGAGUGACAUUUGGGUGAUGCACUGCCCAAUUACGGGGGCAGGCCUGGGCAAGCAAUUACAACCAUUUUGGCAGAAGCAUAUGUAGUCUUAUUCUCUGCUUAAGUUUGAUUAUGAAUUCACUUGUGUUUUGUAGGCAAAUAUGAAAAGUCAUGAACUAAUAUCUGAGGUUGCUGACUUUGUUAUUAUAUCUAAGUGCAGAGGUUAAAAUGGUUGUGGAGUCAGUUGACAGCUAUGUUCACAUAGUUCGGCCAAGACUCCUUAAAGGAAUAAUUCACCCAAAAAUGAACAUGAUCCCAUAAUUUACUCACCCUCAAGCCAUCCUAGAUGUAUAUACAGUAACUUGCUUCUUUCAGCCCAACACAGUUAUUUUAAAUAAUAUCCUAGCUCUUCCCAGCUUUGUAAUGGCAUUGUAUAGUUUUUGAAGCUCCAAAAAGUGCAUCCAUCCAUCAUAAAAGUAAUCUAUAUGACUCCAGUGGGAUAAUAAAUGCCUUCUGAAGCGAAGUGAUGGGUUUUUGUAAGAAAAAUAUCCAUAUUUAAAACUCUAUAAACUUUAUAAUCACUGGCUUCCGGCAAUGGGCGUACACGCGUUCACGAGAGAGUCAUAAGUGUUUUGGAAUUUCAACGGUUCACGUGACUUUGGCAGUUUGAUAUGCGAGCUGAACCACUGAUUCGAAACAAAAGAUUUGU